AUUUCAACUUGUUUAAUCUGAGAGAAUGUCAGGAAACAACCACUUGCUUUUUAAUUUUUAUGUCCUAUAUACACUUAGAUCAUUCCAACAUGUCCUACUGGACUAAGAAAUAUACUUAAAAUCAGAUUUCCAAGUACAGUUUUCUUUGUUAUUAUGCAAGACAUACAAGUAUUGAGAAAUACAUGCAAAAUAUUGGUGCUGUAACCAAAGAAAGAUGUUUGUGGUUUUAAGACUGACAGAAAACAGGGAACAGCUUCUUCCUGGCUCUUGUCUUGCCAUCCAUGGGAGCAAAACACAAUUCAUCUGUUCUGAGCAACAGGACUGAGAUCCUGUCCUACCCCCCAGUAUCAGACCUCCAGCAGAGAACACCAAGCCUCUCCAAAGAGUCUUGUCCUCUGGGGUGAAAAAGCCAGUUCUGUUGCCAGCUCAGAUGUUGCCUUUAGGAGAGAAAAUAAUGCUGUUUCCAACUGACUCCAGAUUGCUGAAACUACUAAUUGUGCUCCAGUCAGCAUCCAUUAAAAAUACAACUACAUUUUUUAAGGAGGAUAUAAUUAGAGUUGAAAUGAAAGUGUUAUACUUAGCCUACCUUAGAGGAAGAAUCCUAGACCACUCCAUUCCUUGUUACCACUGCCAUUAAUGUAACAAUAGAGAACAGCUGUUGUCCCAGCUUGGACAUGAUUAUUCUGCUAAGAAAGUACUUUCUGGUGGGCACACUCCACCCCUUUGAAUUUAGUUUCUUGAUUUGAGUUGAUGGAAACAUGUAAUGUCUAAUGAAUUUCUCCUGGGAGAAGAAUUUGGAUGAUUUUGUUCUGCAUCCCCAGUCCAUGGCAGUGAUAAGUUUCUAUCCCGAAUCAAUUGUAUUAUUUAAUGUCACUUCCCCAUCAUAACUGGAUUGUCAAUUCAGCAGGAAAAAUGAGUUCAUCAGAGGUGCUUCAGGGCGCAUGUGAGAGUGGAGCUGGAGAGAGAGCAGUCCCUAGAAAAAGAGUGGGGAUAGAAAGACUGCAUCUACUGAUUGCUUGGUACCUAAACAGCCAUGCAUACCGGCCAAACCGUCUUAGGUGGCAGAUGCUGGGGAGAAAUUGUGUCUGCUGCUACCUCUGUUCUUCACAUCUUCUAAGGAAACAACAUUUCAACUUUCUGUGCUGUUAGUCCACAAAGCAGCUGAAGAUUUUUUCCAUGAAAAUGUUUGGGAAAAAUGGAAUCUCACAAGAUCUACUUUAUAUGUAUUAACAUAUAUUACAUGUCGGUAUGUAAUAUAGCUUGAAACUACAAUAUUAAAUAUUAUAGCACUAAGAAAGUCAGAGUUGUGUUAGGAAACCACACAUACAUACACACAGAGACCUGACUGGAAUCCACAUCACAAGAAAGUUUAAAACAUUUACCUAGGAAUCUUGGAGAAAAAAAUGAGACAUGGUUGUUUUGUUUGUUUGUUUUGUUUGUUUGUUUAUUGCUAUGGAGAUAUAAUCAUUUUUUAAAGCUUUCAUUUAGCCAUGUAUGUAACGAGCAGGGGACAGGUCAGACAGUGAGAGAAAAAGAGAGAGAAAAAACUGUAAAGCAUGUGAAGAGUAAUAAAUGCUCUGAAAAAAAAUAAUAAAAUAUCGAA
rnacentral:lncRNA from 1 species